rnacentral:rRNA from 1 species
AUUGAACGCUGGCGGCAGGCCUAACACAUGCAAGUCGAGCGGAGCGGCGGACGGGUGAGUAAUGCCUAGGAAUCUGCCUGGUCGUGGGGGAUAACGUCCGGAAACGGGCGCUAAUACAGCACACUAUCAGCUGAGCCUAGGCCGGAUUAGCUAGGUGGUGGGGUAACGGCCUACCAAGGCGACGAUCCACAACUGGGCUGAGUGGAUGAUCAGUCACACUGGAACUGAGACACGGUCCAGACUCCUACGGGAGGCAGCAGUGGGGAAUAUUGGACAAUGGGCGAAAGUCUGAUGCAGCCAUGCCGCGUGUGUGAAGAAGGUCUUCGGAUUGUAAAGCACUUUAAGUUGGGAGGCGUUACCAACAGAAUAAGCACCGGCUAACUUCGUGCCAGCAGCCGCGGUAAUUC